rnacentral:rRNA from 1 species
UACGGGGGGGGCAAGCGUUGUUCGGAAUUACUGGGCGUAAAGCGCGCGUAGGCGGCCCUUCAAGUCGACUGUGAAAUCUCCGGGCUUAACCCGGAAAGGUCAGCCGAUACUGCGGGGCUAGAGUGCAGAAGGGGCAACUGGAAUUCUCGGUGUAGCGGUGAAAUGCGUAGAUAUCGAGAGGAACACCUGCGGCGAAGGCGGGUUGCUGGGCUGACACUGACGCUGAGGCGCGAAAGCUAGGGGAGCGAACGGG